rnacentral:rRNA from 1 species
AUUGAACGCUGGCGGUAUGCCUAACACAUGCAAGUCGAACGAGGUAGCAAUACCUAGUGGCGGACGGGUGAGGAAUACGUAGGGAUCUGCCUUUAAGUGGGGAUAACCCGGGGAAACCCGGAUUAAUACCGCAUGAUCUCGCAAGAGCAAAGAGGGGGACCGCAAGGCCUCUCGCUUUUAGAGGAACCUACGUCGGAUUAGCUAGUUGGUGAGGUAAUGGCUCACCAAGGCGACGAUCCGUAACUGGUCUGAGAGGAUGAUCAGUCACACCGGAACUGAGACACGGUCCGGACUCCUACGGGAGGCAGCAGUGGGGAAUAUUGGACAAUGGGCGAAAGCCUGAUCCAGCAAUACCGCGUGUGUGAAGAAGGCCUC